GGUAGUUGCAGAAUUAAAUUACGUUAAAGAAAAUGUGGCUCAUAGACAGAUGGAUCCUUCUCGUUUAAGUAAACCAAAUUCAUUCCUAUAAAGCCACCUUCCAUGAUUGGUGACACAAGUUUCAAGCUUUUCUUAUCAGGUUUCCCUCCAUUGUCAAGUGUAAGUUCACCAGUUGUUGCUAGGGAGAAAUCAAAAUGGGGCCAGGUGGACCAGGAGGACCUCCGGGAUGGGGCGGUCCUCCUCCCGGACCGGGUUUUUCCGGUGGCAUUUGUGACUUCAUUGGUUCUUGUUUGAGCUUUCUGUGUUGCUGCUGGCUGCUUGGAGACUGUUUUGGUGGUCCAAUGGGUCCACCAGGGCCACCUGGACCACCUGGAUUUGGACCUCCACCACCAUAGUUAUAUGUCUACCAUCUUCAUAUUCCAACACAAAAAUUGGAGGCUUUUCUAGCUUCUAUCUGGGUUUCAACUUAGCUAUCUAAAAUACAUAUUUAUGUAAUAAUUGUUUGCAUUUUUAGUAGAAUUUAUGUUUAUUGAAAUUAAUCUCAAUAAAUUGAUCUUUCAAUCUUUUUUCUUUGCUAA